GAAAGAAGAUGGAUCAGAAGUCGCUAAAUAAGGAUCUGAAGUUUGCUGUUUUUUUGGGGGAAUUAGAAAAGGUCAGGGAUUGUCUUGACAAAGGUGCAGAUGUAAACGAUUCACACGGUGAAUGGUUCGAAGGUGACACUCCUUUACAUGUUGCAGUUGACUGUGUACAUUCGGAAAUAGUCCGGUUGUUACUAGAAAGAGAAGAUAUAGAUCCAAACAAAGGA